rnacentral:rRNA from 1 species
CCUAUACAUGCAAGUCGAACGCGUUGGCCCAAUUGAUUGAUGGUGCUUGCACCUGAUUGAUUUUGGUCGCCAACGAGUGGCGGACGGGUGAGUAACACGUAGGUAACCUGCCCAGAAGCGGGGGACAACAUUUGGAAACAGAUGCUAAUACCGCAUAACAGCGUUGUUCGCAUGAACAACGCUUAAAAGAUGGCUUCUCGCUAUCACUUCUGGAUGGACCUGCGGUGCAUUAGCUUGUUGGUGGGGUAAUGGCCUACCAAGGCGAUGAUGCAUAGCCGAGUUGAGAGACUGAUCGGCCACAAUGGGACUGAGACACGGCCCAUACUCCUACGGGAGGCAGCAGUAGGGAAUCUUCCACAAUGGGCGCAAGCCUGAUGGAGCAACACCGCGUGAGUGAAGAAGGGUUUCGGCUCGUAAAGCUCUGUUGUUAAAGAAGAACACGUAUGAGAGUAACUGUUCAUACGUUGACGGUAUUUAACCAGAAAGUCACGGCUAACUACGUGCCAGCAGCCGCGGUAAUACGUAGGUGGCAAGCGUUAUCCGGAUUUAUUGGGCGUAAAGAGAGUGCAGGCGGUUUUCUAAGUCUGAUGUGAAAGCCUUCGGCUUAACCGGAGAAGUGCAUCGGAAACUGGAUAACUUGAGUGCAGAAGAGGGUAGUGGAACUCCAUGUGUAGCGGUGGAAUGCGUAGAUAUAUGGAAGAACACCAGUGGCGAAGGCGGCUACCUGGUCUGCAACUGACGCUGAGACUCGAAAGCAUGGGUAGCGAACAGGAUUAGAUACCCUGGUAGUCCAUGCCGUAAACGAUGAGUGCUAGGUGUUGGAGGGUUUCCGCCCUUCAGUGCCGGAGCUAACGCAUUAAGCACUCCGCCUGGGGAGUACGACCGCAAGGUUGAAACUCAAAGGAAUUGACGGGGGCCCGCACAAGCGGUGGAGCAUGUGGUUUAAUUCGAAGCUACGCGAAGAACCUUACCAGGUCUUGACAUCUUGCGCCAACCCUAGAGAUAGGGCGUUUCCUUCGGGAACGCAAUGACAGGUGGUGCAUGGUCGUCGUCAGCUCGUGUCGUGAGAUGUUGGGUUAAGUCCCGCAACGAGCGCAACCCUUGUUACUAGUUGCCAGCAUUAAGUUGGGCACUCUAGUGAGACUGCCGGUGACAAACCGGAGGAAGGUGGGGACGACGUCAGAUCAUCAUGCCCCUUAUGACCUGGGCUACACACGUGCUACAAUGGACGGUACAACGAGUCGCGAACUCGCGAGGGCAAGCAAAUCUCUUAAAACCGUUCUCAGUUCGGACUGCAGGCUGCAACUCGCCUGCACGAAGUCGGAAUCGCUAGUAAUCGCGGAUCAGCAUGCCGCGGUGAAUACGUUCCCGGGCCUUGUACACACCGCCCGUCACACCAUGAGAGUUUGUAACACCCAAAGUCGGUGGGGUAACCUUUUAGGAGCCAGCCGCCUAA